GACGAACGCUGGCGGCGUGCUUAACACAUGCAAGUCGAGCGGAAAGGCCCUUCGGGGUACUCGAGCGGCGAACGGGUGAGUAACACGUGAGUAACCUGCCCCAGACUUUGGGAUAACCCUCGGAAACGGGGGCUAAUACCGGAUACGACACAGCUUCGCAUGGGGUCUGUGUGGAAAGUUUUUCGGUUUGGGAUGGGCUCGCGGCCUAUCAGCUUGUUGGUGGGGUGAUGGCCUACCAAGGCGACGACGGGUAGCCGGCCUGAGAGGGCGACCGGCCACACUGGGACUGAGACACGGCCCAGACUCCUACGGGAGGCAGCAGUGGGAAAUAUUGCACAAUGGGCGGAAGCCUGAUGCAGCGACGCCGCGUGAGGGAUGACGGCCUUCGGGUUGUAAACCUCUUUCAGCAGGGACGAAGCGUAAGUGACGGUACCUGCAGAAGAAGCGCCGGCCAACUACGUG
rnacentral:rRNA from 1 species